rnacentral:lncRNA from 1 species
UCUCUCUUUAGAAACCCGCUAAAAAGAUUGCCCGAGGACGUCUCAGUACUGCCUGAACCUUUUAUUGAGACUAAGUCACUGAAGAUCUUUAAGGGGCUUGCUAGAAGUCAUUUCUUGUAGCUUUAAGCCAGCAUUGAUACCACGCCGUGAGGUGCUCUAGAAGGCUCUGGAAGAUGCUGGAAGGCCCAGGUGUAAAACAAGAAGCCCAGUUUAACCACGUCCGGUUGGAAAGGCCCACUUCAAAAUCAUCCAUAUUCCCCCCAUCGUAAAGAAGACUAGAGACAUCCAUCACGCUACAAGACGCACACGGGUGAUCCUAGUUAUCAACACCGGGUGCUGUGAGCUUGUGAGUGAAUGGCAGUAAAUACGAGCAAGACCAAUUUUAUUUAAAAUAAGCAUUAAAAUCUUGCACUGAGUUCAAAUUUCAUUCGGUAGGAUUCAACGAGAGAUGAGGCAAAGAAAAAAAAAUCGAGAUACUUUUUUGUAUUAUUAUUUGCUCUUGAAUAACUCGUGAGAGAAUUAAAACCUACCGUGCUGUUUAGAGCAUCACAAAGCUAAGCACGCUGUCUGUGUGCCUGGUGACCUGCCCAUCUCCAAAUGCAUCCCUGUUGACACUGCUUCGUCAUCGCACUGAAGAUGAUUUACACAUUACGUGAUAUUAUGACUAUACCCCUGGUCUGAAGUAACUGCUACAGGCACAGGUGAAUGCACCAAUCUUCAAUCAGGGUGCUGGCAGCGACCUCAAUCCUGCUAAAGCUCCAGUCAUUUCUGGGAAACUAAGAGAAUUCAGCCACGGUUUCUGUGCUCAAGGUACGACCUCUCCAUCCCAAUUGAAUCAUUCAAAUUGCUUCUGAAAUAACAGCUGAGAAUGCUG